AGCGAACGUUAGCGGCGCGCCUAACACAUGCAAGUCGCACGAGAAACGGAGCAAUCCGCGGUACAGUGGCGCACGGGUGAGUAACACGUGGAUGACCUUCCCUGGAGUGGUGGAUAACCUGCCGAAAGGCGGGCUAAUACAGCAUGGGACCACGACGCUUUGGCGAUGUGGUGAAAGCGGGCCUCUAUAUAUAAGCUCGCGCUCCGGGACGGGUCCGCGUCCCAUCAGCUAGUUGGUGAGGUAACGGCUCACCAAGGCAACGACGGGUAGCUGGUCUGAGAGGAUGGCCAGCCACACUGGAACUGAGACACGGUCCAGACUCCUACGGGAGGCAGCAGUGGGGAAUCUUGCGCAAUGGGCGAAAGCCUGACGCAGCGACGCCGCGUGGGCGAAGGAGGCCUCGGUUGUAAGCCUGUGGGGAGAACGAACCGUACGGGGCGGAAGUACCCUCCGUCGCCUCGACGGUAC
rnacentral:rRNA from 1 species